GGGACGGGCAGAGCAGUAACUAAAUUAUGUUCAUAGGUAUUGCGCAAGUUCUUAAGUAGGCUGGAAGCACAUGGUUAUGGGAAGUGUUGAGUUAUUUCCCCCCUUUUAACUCAGAAGGAUAACUCCUGUUGUUGACCUAAGAAUCAAAGGAUGAGCUGGAAAAACCUGCUAAGGCAUGUCGGCCAACUCCUCAGAGAAAUACUACAGUUAACCUCAAGAUGGAGUUGUUCCAAAGGAUGGGGAAGCACCUUCUUGAAAGGAGCAUAUCUCACAGAGGCAGCAUCAGCGUUAGAGCCAGGGAAAAUGUGGUCUGGAUUAAUCAAUGUCGAGGACCACUCUGUCCAGCUCCAGCAUGCUACUGUUUAUGAAAAGAAAUUAAGCACGGCUGUCGAAUCCCCCUUCUUCAUCCCAAAAAGGAAUUGAAAAGGGAAAUAUACAUAACUCAUUAUUAAGUGUAUGUAUGUCUUAUUUGGGACCCUUGGAAUAUUACUCUCUGUGGUUUUCUUGGUAGUCAAAAUUAUUUCUUCAGAUGUAUUUUUGGAAGGAUCUUAGUUCACAAAGUAUUUUCAUUUAGGACUCAAGCUAGGAUAAAGAGUAAGGCUUGUGGUUAUCCUAACCAUUCUUAAGAAGUCUUUAUAAUGUCCUGAAUCUAACCUACUGUGGCACGUAAUGUUAUUCAGUUCACUUCAAUUCAACCAAUGUUACUGUGCAGUAUUUUAUCAUGUGCACAUCCAGUAAACAUUAUAUUAACUUGAAAGUUAGUUAGAAAUUCUAUUCCAGUGGAGAAGGCUAAUACUAUGAAUUACUAGGCCUGCUAAUUCAUGCCUGUAGAGGUUAUGGUAGAAUAUUCCUUAGUGAAAAUUUCGUUUUGAAGGAGUAGCGUCUAUUUUUAUUCUUGUCUGGAGUGCAUAAUAUGAAGCUUUUCAUAUCUCUGAAGCUUUAAAUUAGAAGCCAUUUUGGGUUGGGUUUUUAAAAAACUCCUCCAGAAGGAGAACAGUAAAAAGUCUUGCCUUUUAUUUUCAUGCAUCAUCUUUCAGUCUACAUACAUCUAUCAAAUUUUUAAAAAAUUCAUAAAGAAAAUCUAAAAUAUACUACUCGAGCAAACUUAGGCAAGUGUUGCCCAUUUUUGUAGAAAAUUAGAUUAGUCAAAAUAAGACUUAGAGAGUGUUCGAAAUCUCUAUCAACUGAACUUAGGCUAAUCAGAGGAGGAUUUAAAUUACCAAAAGGAUGGGCGGAAAAGAAAGCAUCUCCGAACACUUAACUGCCUGAAGCUGCUAUUUUAGCAUCCAGCCAAUAAAGAUUUAUAAACAACCCAUUCUUUGUUCAUGCUGAGGUCCUCCGGUGUACAGAAACAAGGAUGAAAUUCAGCAUCGUUACUUUCAGCAUAGGACCACUGGACCCAAAUCUACAGUUUAUGCAAAACAAAUAAUGCAAAAAUAGAAGUAUGAGGAAAUAAUUGGUAUCAAGAAUUAAAUGAUAUGAUCACUUAUAACCGUCCCCAGCCUAGCCAGCUGUAUAUUUACACACUAAUAGAUACUUCUGCUUAGGCAUUUAAUUUGUGCAGAAAUUAGGUCAAUAGGAACAUCAGUUUUCUUUUUUUUUGCAAAUGUACAAAUUUGCCAAAAUCAUCCAAAACUCUCCCAAAUAAAAUUAGUAUUCUUUCUCUUUUUAAGAAUUGGGAGGUAUACACCUGAUUGAGUAACUGAGUUAGACUGUAAGACAUGAAUACAGAAUGGGCACAGUGGCUAAUGCCUGUAAACCCAGCACUUUGGGAGGCCAAAGUGAAUGGAUCUCUUGAGCCCAGGAGUUUGAGACCAGCCUGGGCAAUGGCCAAACCCUGUCUCUACAAAAAAUACUAAAGGUGUGAUGGCACACACCUUUAGUCUCAGCUAUUAGCCUGAGAUGAGAGGAUCACCUGAGCCUGAGGAGACUGAAGCCACAGUGAGCCAUCAUCACACCACUGGCCUCCAGCCUGGGUGACAGGGUGGAAUCCUGCCCCACUUCCUCCCCAAAAAAGACAUGAAUACUAAGCAUAUGUAUGUCAUAUGUAGAGAGAGUGUUCUAUUGUGAUUAGGUAAAAUGAACAACAAUGUUUGUCUAGCAUGUUGAAAAUUAAAGGUAAUUAUACUUGGGCUAAAGACAGGUAGACAUAAUUACCUGUUAACAUUAACAUUAACCAUUCGUAGUUUUUACUAUUGCUAUACAUAUAAUCUAUUUUUUCUAAAAAUAGCAAAUAAUUUUGACACUCAUUCUUUUAUUCAUUCAUUGAUCCAUUCAAUAUGUGCUUAUUGAAUACUUACCAUGUGCCAUGCACCCUGAUAGGCAAGGAGAAUACAAGUAAUAGGACAGUUAGGAUCCCUGACCACUGCAUCUUAGUGGGUGAAACAAACAGUAAACAAACGACUAAAACUGAUACUCAAAGGGUAAGAAGGAGCCAGCCACAUGACUCCUUCCGGGCAACCAGUAAUGACAGGAGCUAGCGUGACUGGAAUUAAAUGAGGGAGGGAGGUAUCAGGAGACUGGCCAUGGGGGAUUUGUAUAAUAUGGGAACAUACUUGGAAUUUAUUCUGAUACAAUGGAAGUCAUUAAAAGGUUUUGAAUCAAGGGAGUAACACGAGAUCAUUUUUGUUUAAAAACACGGCAUAUUCUCACUCAUAGGUGGGUGACGAAAAAUGAGAACACAUGGACACAGAAAGGGGAGUACUAAACACUGGGGUCUAUUGGGGGAAAAGGGGAGGGCCAGUGGGAGGGGGAGGUGGGGAGGGAUAGCCUGGGGAGAAAUGCCAAAUGUGGGUGAAGGGGAGAAGAAAAGCAAAGCACACUGCCAUGUGUGUACCUUCGCAACUGUCUUGCAUUCUCUGCUCAUGUACCCCAAAACCUAAAAUCCAAUAAAAAAUUUAAAAAAUAUAUAUCUCAUUACACUGGGCGCAAUGGCUCACACCUCUAAUCCUAACACUUUGGGAGGCUGAGGCAGGAGGAUGGCUUGAGGUCAGAAGUUUGAGACCAGCUUGGCCAACAUGGUGACACCCCAUCUUUACAAAAAAUGAAGAAAUUAGUCAGACGUGGUGGCACACACCUGUAAUCCCAGCUACUUGGGAGGCUGAGACAUGAGAAUUGCUUGAGCCUACUAGGCAAAGGUUACAAUGAGCCGAGAUUUCUCCACUGUCCUCCAGCCUGGGGACAGACUGAGACUCUGUCCAUACAACAAAAUAAAAAAAUAAUAAUCAUUGCUAUGGCUUGCAUGUAUUCCUUAAACUUUAUGUGUUGGAAACUCCAUCCCCAAUGUGGCAGUGUUGGGAUGUGGUGCCUGAUGGAAAGCCUGGCCAAUACAGUGAAACCCCAUCUCUACUAAAAAUACAAAAAUCAGCCAGGUGUGAUGGC
ensembl:lncRNA